CCUACGGGAGGCAGCAGUAGGGAAUCUUCGGCAAUGGGGGGAACCCUGACCGAGCAACGCCGCGUGAGUGAAGAAGGUUUUCGGAUCGUAAAGCUCUGUUGUAAGAGAAGAACGGGUGUGAGAGUGGAAAGUUCACACUGUGACGGUAUCUUACCAGAAAGGGACGGCUAACUACGUGCCAGCAGCCGCGGUAAUACGUAGGUCCCGAGCGUUGUCCGGAUUUAUUGGGCGUAAAGCGAGCGCAGGCGGUUAGAUAAGUCUGAAGUUAAAGGCUGUGGCUUAACCAUAGUACGCUUUGGAAACUGUUUAACUUGAGUGCAGAAGGGGAGAGUGGAAUUCCAUGUGUAGCGGUGAAAUGCGUAGAUAUAUGGAGGAACACCGGUGGCGAAAGCGGCUCUCUGGUCUGUAACUGACGCUGAGGCUCGAAAGCGUGGGGAGCAAACAGGAUUAGAUACCCUGGUAGUCCACGCCGUAAACGAUGAGUGCUAGGUGUUGGGUCCUUUCCGGGACUCAGUGCCGCAGCUAACGCAUUAAGCACUCCGCCUGGGGAGUACGACCGCAAGGUUGAAACUCAAAGGAAUUGACGG
rnacentral:rRNA from 1 species